GACGAACGCUGGCGGCGUGCUUAACACAUGCCAGUCGAACGGAAAGGCCCUGCUUUUGUGGGGUGCUCGAGUGGCGAACGGGUGAGUAACACGUGAGUAACCUGCCCUUGACUUUGGGAUAACUUCAGGAAACUGGGGCUAAUACCGGAUAGGAGCUCCUGCUGCAUGGUGGGGGUUGGAAAGUUUCGGCGGUUGGGGAUGGACUCGCGGCUUAUCAGCUUGUUGGUGGGGUAGUGGCUUACCAAGGCUUUGACGGGUAGCCGGCCUGAGAGGGUGACCGGCCACAUUGGGACUGGGGUACGGGCCCGACUCCUACGGGGAGCAACAGGGGGGAAUAUUGCACAAUGGGCGGAAGCCUGAUGCAGCAACGCCGCGUGCGGGAUGACGGCCUUCGGGUUGUAAACCGCUUUCGCCUGUGACGAAGCGUGAGUGACGGUAAUGGGUAAAGAAGCACCGGCUAACUACGUG
rnacentral:rRNA from 1 species